rnacentral:rRNA from 1 species
GAAAGCGUGGGGAGCGAACAGGAUUAGAUACCCUGGUAGUCCACGCCGUAAACGGUGGAUGCUGGAUGUGGGGACCAUUCCACGGUCUCCGUGUCGGAGCCAACGCGUUAAGCAUCCCGCCUGGGGAGUACGGCCGCAAGGCUAAAACUCAAAGAAAUUGACGGGGGCCCGCACAAGCGGCGGAGCAUGCGGAUUAAUUCGAUGCAACGCGAAGAACCUUACCUGGGCUUGACAUGUUCCCGACAGCCGUAGAGAUACGGUCUCCCUUCGGGGCGGGUUCACAGGUGGUGCAUGGUCGUCGUCAGCUCGUGUCGUGAGAUGUUGGGUUAAGUCCCGCAACGAGCGCAACCCUCGCCCUGUGUUGCCAGCACGUCGUGGUGGGAACUCACGGGGGACCGCCGGGGUCAACUCGGAGGAAGGUGGGGAUGACGUCAGAUCAUCAUGCCCCUUACGUCCAGGGCUUCACGCAUGCUACAAUGGCCGGUACAACGGGAUGCGACCUCGUGAGGGGGAGCGGAUCCCUUAAAACCGGUCUCAGUUCGGAUUGGAGUCUGCAACCCGACUCCAUGAAGGCGGAGUCGCUAGUAAUCGCGGAUCAGCAACGCCGCGGUGAAUGCGUUCCCGGGCCUUGUACACACCGCCCGUCAAGUCAUGAAAGUGGGUAGCACCCGAAGCCGGUGGCCCAACCUUUUUGGGGGGAGCCGUCUAAGGUGAGACUCGUGAUUGGGACUAAGUCGUAACAAGGUAGCCGUACCGGAAGGUGCGGCUG